UGCGUAAAUAGCUCGUUCAACCGAUAAUAUAUUGCUCGGACGAGCACCAAGAUAAGCAGAUUCCGGGCACCCUUUAACACUGAAUUAAUGCACUCGACAAGGUUUAUGGUCAUGUGACCCCAUUGAUGUCCCUCGUCGAAUGCCAAUACCCACUGAGGUAGUUCGAUGUUGUCGCACAAACGGGCAUAUGCCUCACCUCGUUCUUGCAACCUCUUAUAGCUGACGUUGUACUCCUCCACCAUCCUUAAAUACCCAAUGUUGACAACGAGCUUUUGCAAAUACGGGACCUUGAACUCCCUUAAGAAGUUGCUACCAAUGUGCCGAAUACAAAAUAUUCAUCAUGUUCUCGGAGGUUUUCAAUCACCUCUGCUACGAUUUACUGCUACCCGGAUUGACUCAUGACGAUGGGAGAUUAUACCCACGCCGUCUCUUCUUACAAUAUGACUUCGAAAAUUACUAAGAAAAAAGUGUAACGAUCAGCGGUUUCACCCUCUAUGAUGGCAAAAGCAAUCGGCACAAUGUUUUGAUUCCCGUCUUGCGCAACUGUAACCAAAAGGCAACCUUUAUAUUUUUCGUAUAGGUGGGUGCCGUCAACUUGAACUAACGGCUUGCAAUAUUUGAAGGCUCUAAUACAUGGAUUGAAACUCCAGAAUACCCACUGAAGUAUUCUAACACCCGCCACCACUUCACUCCCGUUAUUUAGGGGUCGUGUUUCUAUCUGGACUUGCGAAAUAGGCAUCUUCUGAACCAUUACGGAGAACCACAAUGGCAAAGCUCCAUAAGAUUCUUCCCAUCCACCGAAAACUUUCGCUAUCGACUUCUGCUUCGCCAACAAAGUCUUUCGGUAACUAAUAGUGUAAACUCCGCUAAAAUCGGUAAAUAAUUAGUAAAUAAAUUGAAUUUUAAUUAGAAAAGCUAAAAAUGAAAAACUAAUAUCAAAAUAGGAUAGAAUUUGUCGAAACGAAAAUUUUGAUACCAAUUUCGAUAAAUUAGCCCAAAGUUGGACCGGAAAGACCGAACCGGUUGAACCAGGACCCAAACCGGGCCUGUGGGUCCAACCGGACCCGUAAUAUAAAGGAAACAGCAGCUCUCUUCUCCCUCAUUAGUUGCUGUAACGCCAAAACAUAAUUGGAGGAAAGGGAGAGAAGCUCUUAAACCCUAACCCUUUGAUCCACCAUAACUCCUCCAUCCGGGCUCCGAUCGCUGCACCGUUCAUGGCCACGAGCUCAUCAUGUCGAGCUCUACCUUUCUAUCCAAACAAUUUCACUGAUUCAAGUUAGCUUCCGGAACUUGUGGGCUCAAGCUAUUGAGCAUUUGGGUAUGGUGUAGGUUAAGUGGGUGUUUAUGCAUGUGAAUUAAAUUGGGAUUACUUGGAGGUUUGUUGGUGACCAAGGCUUGUUUUGGGGCUGUUUGAUUGAGUUUGGAGGGGCUGUAAUUGUGCGUUGUGAGGCUACCUUGGGUGAAUUAAGUGAUCGGCUAAGGUAUGGUUUAAGUUUCGCACGUUUAAUAUUUACGGUGUUGUGAAAACAUAGGUUAGAAAAACCAUA